GGGGUUUGGGGGGGAACACCCCAAUUUUAGGGGGAUUUUGGGGUUUUUAUGUGGAGAACCCCCCCUAAAUGGGGCUGAGGGACCCCAAUAUGGGGGGUUUGGGGGGGAACACCCCAAUUUUGGGGGGAUUUCAGGGCAUUUGGGGGUUUUUAUGUGGAGAACCCCCCCUGAAAUAGGGAGAGGGACCCCAAUAUGGGGGGUUUUUUGGGGGGGAACACCCCAAUUUUGGGGGGGGAUUUUGGGGUUUUUAUGUGGAGAACCGCCUGUAAAUGGAGCUGAGGGUCGCCAGUAUGUGAGGUUUGUGGGGGGAGUCUUCAAUUUUGGUGGAAUUUAAGGGGAUUUUGGGGUGAAUUGGGGGUUUUUAUGAGGAGAACCCCCCUUAAAUGGAGCUGAGGGACCCCAGUGUGUGGGAUUUUGGGGUUUUUUUGGGGUUUUUAUGAGGCUAUUCCCCCCUUUUUCCCCCCCCCCUCUCACCGUUCCUUGCUGCUCCGCUCCCUCCUGAGCGCGACGUACCGGGUGUGGCGCGAGGGCGUGGCGCGACGUCGUGCUGCGUCGUGACGUCACCGCGACGUAAAAAACGGGCGUGGCCUGGCGGGAUGCCCGGAUGUGGGGUGUGACGUCACCGCGGUUAUGGAUGGGGGCGGGGCGUGGCGGCGUGCCACCAUGGGGCGGUUUUGGGGCUAUUUUGGGGCUGUUUUGGGUCUAUUUGGGGCAGUUCAAGGUUAGGGGGGGGGGGGGGGGCGGCAUUUUGGGGCUGUUUGGGGCUGGAAUGUGACUAUGGGGCCCUGUGGGGUAAUGAGACCCACAGAGGGGAGUGGGGCGACCCGUGGGGGUGAUGGGCUGCGCCGUGUGGGGCCUCAUAGGGGGAUUCCGAGCUUCGGAUGGCGCCUAUAGAGCCCCGCAGGGAGGGGGCUGCUCCAUUGGGGCCCUAUAGGGGGGUGCGGGGGGGGGGGCUCCAAUUGGGACCCUAUAGUGGGGAUAGACCCUAAUGGAGCCCUAUAGUGGGGAUAGACCCUAAUGGAGCCCUAUAGUGGGGAUAGACCCGAAUGGAGCCCUAUAGUGGGGAUAGACCCGAAUGGAGCCCUAUAGUGGGGAUAGACCCGAAUGGAGCCGCACCAUUGAGAGACCCCCGCGGGGACCCACCCGGGACAGUGGGGAGGGGCCCGGCCGGGGUCGUCCUACCCCACGGCGGUGGGAGGGGGAAGG
rnacentral:lncRNA from 1 species